ACGCUGACAGAAUGCUUAACACAUGCAAGUCGAUGACUAAGUAUAGCUUGCUAUACAAGGUCAUGGCGGACGGGUGAGUAACGUGUAAAGAACUUACCUUAUAGACUGGGAUAACAGAUAGAAAUGUCUGAUAAUACUAGAUACUAUUACACUGUGGCAUCACAGAGUAAUGAAAGAAUACGCUAUAAGAGAGCUUUGCAUCCUAUUAGCUAGUUGGUAAGGUAAAGGCUUACCAAGGCGAUGAUAGGUAGCCGGCCUGAGAGGGUGGACGGCCACAAGGGGACUGAGAUACGGCCCUUACUCCUACGGGAGGCAGCAGUGGGGAAUAUUGGACAAUGGAGGAAACUCUGAUCCAGCAAUUCUGUGUGUGUGAAGAAGGUCUUCGGACUGUAAAACACUUUUAGUUGGGAAGAAACAAAUGACGGUACCAACAGAAGAAGCGACGGCUAAAUACGUGCCAGCAGCCGCGGUAAUACGUAUGUCGCAAGCGUUAUCCGGAAUUAUUGGGCUUAAAGGGCAUCUAGGCGGUAUAACAAGUUGAAGGUGAAAAGCUGUAGCUCAACUAUAGUCUUGCCUACAAAACUGUAAUACUAGAGUACUGGAAAGGUGGGUGGAACUACACGAGUAGAGGUGAAAUUCGUAGAUAUGUGUAGGAAUGCCGAUGAUGAAGAUAACUCACUGGACAGAAACUGACGCUGAAGUGCGAAAGCUAGGGGAGCAAACAGGAUUAGAUACCCUGGUAGUCCUAGCUGUAAACGAUGAUUACUGGGUGUGGGGAUGAGAAGUCUCUGUGCCGAAGCAAAAGCGAUAAGUAAUCCGCCUGGGGAGUACGUUCGCAAGAAUGAAACUCAAAGGAAUUGACGGGGGCCCGCACAAGUGGUGGAGCAUGUGGUUUAAUUCGACGCAACGCGAGGAACC
rnacentral:rRNA from 1 species